rnacentral:rRNA from 1 species
GAUGAACGCUAGCGGCAGGCCUAAUACAUGCAAGUCGAACGGUAAGGCCCUUUCGGGGGUACACGAGUGGCGGACGGGUGCGUAACGCGUAUGCAACAUGCCUUCCAGCGGGGGAGUAUACCAGGGAAACUUGGCGCAAUACCCCAUAGAAUUACGGGACCGCAUGGUCUUGUGAUUAAAACUCCGGUGCUGGGAGAUUGGCAUGCGUGACAUUAGCUAGUUGGUGAGGUAAAGGCUCACCAAGGCGACGAUCUGUAGCGGGUCUGAGAGGAUGAUCCGCCACACUGGAACUGAGACACGGUCCAGACUCCUACGGGAGGCAGCAGUGGGGAAUUUUGGACAAUGGGCGCAAGCCUGAUCCAGCCAUGCCGCGUGAGUGAAGAAGGCCUCGGUUGUAAG